rnacentral:tRNA from 1 species
GUCCCUAUAGCUCAGUGGUAGAGCGCGGCUUUUCACAAACUACAAAGUCAUCGCCGGUGCCUAUGGUUCGAAUCCAUAUGGGGACG